rnacentral:rRNA from 1 species
AACGAACGCUGGCGGCAUGCCUAACACAUGCAAGUCGAACGAAGUCUUCGGACUUAGUGGCGCACGGGUGCGUAACGCGUGGGAAUCUGCCCUUGGGUGCGGAAUAACUUCUCGAAAGGGAUGCUAAUACCGCAUAAUGUCGUAAGACCAAAGAUUUAUCGCCCAAGGAUGAGCCCGCGUAAGAUUAGCUAGUUGGUGGGGUAAAAGCCUACCAAGGCGACGAUCUUUAGCUGGUCUGAGAGGAUGAUCAGCCACACUGGGACUGAGACACGGCCCAGACUCCUACGGAGGCAGCAGUGGGGAAUAUUGGACAAUGGGGGCAACCCUGAUCCAGCAAUGCCGCGUGAGUGAUGAAGG